rnacentral:rRNA from 1 species
CUACGGGAUGCAGCAGUAGGGAAUAUUGGACAAUGGGCGAAAGCCUGAUCCAGCAACGCCGCGUGCACGAUGACGGCCUUCGGGUUGUAAAGUGCUUUUAGAGGAGAUGAGAAAGGACAGUAUCCUCUGAAUAAGCCUCGGCGAACUACGUGCCAGUAGCCGCGGUAAAACGUAGGAGGCAAGCGUUAUCCGGAUUUAUUGGGCGUAAAGCGCGUGCAGGCGGUUUGACAAGUUGGAUGUGAAAGCUCCCGGCUUAACUGGGAGAGGUCGUUCAAAACUGUCAGACUAGAGAAUGGGAGAGGGAGGUGGAAUUCCGGGUGUAGUGGUGAAAUGCGUAGAUAUCCGGAGGAACACCAGUGGCGAAAGCGGCCUCCUAGACCAUUUCUGACGCUAAGACGCGAAAGCUAGGGUAGCAAACGGGAUUAGAUACCCCCGUAGUC